GUGAUGAUGGGGUUACCUCGCAGCUGCUCGCUCUGAWURAUUCUGGCUUUUCACGUASUGRCUGUAGUGUCAGCCGGUAGCGAAUAGGGAUGUGGRUMMMSACUGGUGUCUACCUCCGCRUCUAWSWCCACYCCCCUSUAGUGGUGGGUACGUUUACUUGSCCUAMMGCUGAUCCGUACCCGUGUCAUCGUSUAAAUCUCUGCGUAUAGAUAUCCGCGCGCUCCCAAGCAGAUCGUGUAMUGCGAAUWUAGCACGUGCCGGGACAAGAGGGUGGGAGAGGUCGGCGGUAUUCCCGGGGUAGGGGCGAAAUCCAUUGAUCCCGGGAGGACCACCAGUGGCGAAGGCUGCCGACUAGAACACGCCUGACGGUGAGGGACGAAAGCUGGGGUAGCGAAUCGGAUUAGAUACCCGAGUAGUCCCAGCCGUAAACGAUGCAGGCUAGGUGUUGGGUCGGCCAUGCGCCGACCCAGUGCCACAGGGAAGCCAUUAAGCCUGCCGCCUGGGGAGUACGGCCGCAAGGCUGAAACUUAAAGGAAUUGGCGGGGGAGCA
rnacentral:rRNA from 1 species